rnacentral:misc_RNA from 1 species
GUGGCAUAUCUUACUUGGCUACACCAUAGACGGGUAAGGGGUGUCACAAAAGCGUUAUACAAGGCUCUAAAAUUAUAUACAUAAAAUAAACAUCCUAUUCUAAACCCUUAGAAACCAUGAAAUUAGGUUUUGGAACGUCAGGAUCAAAGAAUAAAAUAAGUGGGCAGAAUCAAGUUCAGCUGCCGAAGCCUAGGAUUUUGGCUAUCGAACCUUGGAAAGUCAAGUGCUCAUUUUGGGCAAUAACCACUGUGGUUGCCAAAGUUUGGGACUUCGGUUGCCGAACUAUAAAAUUUCUAAAUUUUUCAAAAAAAUGCAAGCUUUGGCUACCGAACCUUUGGCUUUUUGCAGCUGAACCUGGGAAUUUUUAAAAUUUCUAAGUCGAAAACCUGCCGAUCCCUUCUCCUUUAACACCUAAACUCAUUUCAAAAUUCCAAAACACAACCCCAUCACACAUAUAUAUCUCUAGGUCCUAGAACAAUAAAAAAACAUGCUUAAUACUCAUAUACAUUUAUCAAAACUUAAAUCCUAGGUUUUCCUCAAAACCAACAUAGUAUAAACUUCAUAAAAAACUUAACUUAAAACAACUUUUCAUGAAAUUAAAGUUUUAAAAAUCUAACGCCUCAUCAACUCUCUUAGAUCUAUCUAUUAGAUCAAGAAGAAAAGAAA